AACAAACGCUGGCGGCGUGCCUAACACAUGCAAGUCGUACGAGAAAGGGUCCUUCGGGGCCUGAGUAAAGUGGCGCACGGGUGAGUAACGCGUGGAUAAUCUGCCCUUCAGUUGGGAAUAACUCAUCGAAAGGUGGGCUAAUACCGAAUAAUGCUGUGAGACCUCGGUUGAUCAGCCAAAGAGAGCCUCUGCUUGCAAGCCCUCGCUGAAGGAUGAGUCCGCGUACCAUUAGCUAGUUGGUAGGGUAAUGGCCUACCAAGGCGACGAUGGUUAGCUGGUCUGAGAGGAUGAUCAGCCACACUGGAACUGAGACACGGUCCAGACUCCUACGGGAGGCAGCAGUGAGGAAUCUUGCGCAAUGGGGGCAACCCUGACGCAGCAACGCCGCGUGAGUGAGGAAGGUCUUCGGAUCGUAAAGCUCUGUCGGAUGGAGAGAACCGCAUAGGGGUAAACAGCCCCUGUGUCUGACGGUACCGUCAAAGGAAGCACCGGCUAACUCCGUGCCAGCCGCCGCGGUAAAAC
rnacentral:rRNA from 1 species